rnacentral:rRNA from 1 species
UAGAGUGUUCAAAGCAGGCAGAUCCAAUUUUCUGCCACCGAAUACAUUAGCAUGGGAUAAUGGAAUAGGACCCUGUCCUCCUAUUUUCAGUUGGUUUUGGCAGCGCGAGGACUAGGGUAAUGAUUAAUAGGGAUAGUUGGGGGCAUUAAUAUUUAAUUGUCAGAGGUGAAAUUCUUGGAUUUAUGAAAGAUUAACUUCUGCGAAAGCAUCUGCCAAGGAUGUUUUCAUUAAUCAAGAACGAAAGUUAGGGGAUCGAAGACGAUCAGAUACCGUCGUAGUCUUAACCAUAAACGAUGCCGACCAGCGAUUAGGAGACGUUGAAUACAAAACACCACCAUCGGUGCGGUCGUCCUUGGCGUCUCGGUCCUUCACGGGGCCGGGGCGCGGGGGCGGCUUAGCCCGGUGGCACCGGUGAAUGACUCCCCUAGCAGC